UUCGGCGACGUUCUUCUUAUGACUCGCUGAGCAGCUUCCGGGAAACCAAAGUUUUUCGGUUCCGGGGGAAGUAUGGUUGCAAAGCUGAAACUUAAAGGAAUUGACGGAAGGGCACCACCAGGAGUGGAGCAUGCGGCUUAAUUUGACUCAACACGGGAAAACUCACCCGUCCCGAACACUGUGAGGAUUGACAGAUCAAGAGCUCUUUCUUGAUUCAGUGGGUAGUGGUGCAUGGCCGUUCUUAGUUGGUGGAGCGAUUUGUCUGGCUAAUUCCGAUAACGAACGAGACUCUGGCCUACUAACUAGCGGCGGUGUUCAUGCCUCCUGACGGGGGCCGCGUGCGGCAACCGCCGGGCGCGCCCCUUGGAGCAGCAGCGCCGGCAGCCGCUUCUUAGAGGGACCAGCGACACUUUCGCAAGCCGCACGAGAAAGAGCAAUAACAGGUCUGUGAUGCCCUUAGAUGUACGGGGCUGCACGCGUGCUACACUGACGGCGUCAGCGUGCGUUCAAGCCCGGCCUGGCAAGGUCGGGAAAUCGGUUGAAACGUUCUCGUGACUGGGACAGGGAAUUGCAAUUAUUUCCCUCGAACGAGGAAUUCCCAGUAAGCGCGAGUCAUCAGCUUGCGUUGAUUACG
rnacentral:rRNA from 1 species